UUAUUAUCGUUAAUUUCUCUCUCUCUCUCUCACACACACUCUCUUGCUUUGUGAUGGCCCAGGUAAAAUAGAGAUGGAACAAAGCGCAAUUGAACAUCUCUGUGUCUGCACCUAAACAAAAAACGUGCAAUGUCCACUUUGACGUUAUUUUGAAAUUGAAGUCUCCUUAAACCCUUGUUGGAUAAUGAACCAGACAUCGCGUAUUAUUAAAUGCUACUGCAAAAACAAGGGUAAAAUGCAAAAAAUUAUCUGUAAAAAUUUCUAUGCAUCGGCCAAUGUUUAAAAUAUGGACUUACUAGAAUAUAAGUAAUUACGUAAAAAUCUAUUCAAUACUUUGCGUGAAAAGAAGCCUAAAUGCUAAAAUGCAUUUUUCGUUCUAACUCAAUAUACCUAGUA